rnacentral:rRNA from 1 species
ACAGGGAUUGCCCCAGUAACGGCGAGUGAAGCGGCAACAGCUCAAAUUUGAAAUCUGGCUCUCGGGCCCGAGUUGUAAUUUGUAGAGGAUGCUUUUGGUGAGGUGCCUUCCGAGUUCCCUGGAACGGGACGCCAUAGAGGGUGAGAGCCCCGUCUGGUUGGACGCCGAACCUCUGUAAAGCUCCUUCGACGAGUCGAGUAGUUUGGGAAUGCUGCUCUAAAUGGGAGGUAUAUGUCUUCUAAAGCUAAAUACCGGCCAGAGACCGAUAGCGCACAAGUAGAGUGAUCGAAAGAUGAAAAGAACUUUGAAAAGAGAGUUAAACAGUACGUGAAAUUGUUGAAAGGGAAGCGCUUGUGACCAGACUUGGGCUUGGUUGAUCAUCCGGGGUUCUCCCCGGUGCACUCUUCCGGCCCAGGCCAGCAUCAGUUCGCCCUGGGGGACAAAGGCAUCGGGAACGUGGCUCUCUCCGGGGAGUGUUAU